UACGUAGGUGACAAGCGUUGUCCGGAUUUACUGGGCGUAAAGAGCGCGCAGGCGGUCGAUCAAGUCGAGUGUGAAAGCCCCCCGGCUCAACUGGGGGAGGGUCAUUCGAUACUGAUCGACUCGAAGGCAGGAGAGGGUAGUGGAAUUCCCGGUGUAGAGGUGAAAUUCGUAGAUAUCGGGAGGAACACCAGUGGCGAAGGCGGCGACCUGGGCCCAAUAUUGACGCUGAGGUGCGAAAGCGUGGGGAGCAAACAGGG
rnacentral:rRNA from 1 species